rnacentral:rRNA from 1 species
UGUAAGCCUGUGAAGGUGGCCUGUGAGGGUUGCUGGAGGUAUCAGAAGUGCGAAUGCUGACAUAAGUAACGAUAAAGCGGGUGAAAAGCCCGCUCGCCGGAAGACCAAGGGUUCCUGUCCAACGUUAAUCGGGGCAGGGUGAGUCGACCCCUAAGGCGAGGCCGAAAGGCGUAGUCGAUGGGAAACGGGUUAAUAUUCCCGUACUUGGUGUUACUGCGAAGGGGGGACGGAGAAGGCUAUGUUGGCCGGGCGACGGUUGUCCCGGUUUAAGCGUGUAGGUGUGUGUUCCAGGUAAAUCCGGUUCACUUUAACACUGAGGCGUGACGACGAGGCACUACGGUGCUGAAGCAACAAAUGCCCUGCUUCCAGGAAAAGCCUCUAAGCAUCAGGUAACAUCAAAUCGUACCCCAAACCGACACAGGUGGUCAGGUAGAGAAUACCAAGGCGCUUGAGAGAACUCGGGUGAAGGAACUAGGCAAAAUGGUGCCGUAACUUCGGGAGAAGGCACGCUGACAUGUAGGUGAAGUGAUUUACUCAUGGAGCUGAAGUCAGUCGAAGAUACCAGCUGGCUGCAACUGUUUAUUAAAAACACAGCACUGUGCAAACACGAAAGUGGACGUAUACGGUGUGACGCCUGCCCGGUGCCGGAAGGUUAAUUGAUGGGGUCAGCGCAAGCGAAGCUCCUGAUCGAAGCCCCGGUAAACGGCGGCCGUAACUAUAACGGUCCUAAGGUAGCGAAAUUCCUUGUCGGGUAAGUUCCGACCUGCACGAAUGGCGUAAUGAUGGCCAGGCUGUCUCCACCCGAGACUCAGUGAAAUUGAACUCGCUGUGAAGAUGCAGUGUACCCGCGGCAAGACGGAAAGACCCCGUGAACCUUUACUAUAGCUUGACACUGAACAUUGAGCCUUGAUGUGUAGGAUAGGUGGGAGGCUUUGAAGUGUGGACGCCAGUCUGCAUGGAGCCGACCUUGAAAUACCACCCUUUAAUGUUUGAUGUUCUAACGUGGACCCGUUAUCCGGGUUGCGGACAGUGUCUGGUGGGUAGUUUGACUGGGGCGGUCUCCUCCUAAAGAGUAACGGAGGAGCACGAAGGUUGGCUAAUCCUGGUCGGACAUCAGGAGGUUAGUGCAAUGGCAUAAGCCAGCUUGACUGCGAGCGUGACGGCGCGAGCAGGUGCGAAAGCAGGUCAUAGUGAUCCGGUGGUUCUGAAUGGAAGGGCCAUCGCUCAACGGAUAAAAGGUACUCCGGGGAUAACAGGCUGAUACCGCCCAAGAGUUCAUAUCGACGGCGGUGUUUGGCACCUCGAUGUCGGCUCAUCACAUCCUGGGGCUGAAGUAGGUCCCAAGGGUAUGGCUGUUCGCCAUUUAAAGUGGUACGCGAGCUGGGUUUAGAACGUCGUGAGACAGUUCGGUCCCUAUCUGCCGUGGGCGCUGGAGAACUGAGGGGGGCUGCUCCUAGUACGAGAGGACCGGAGUGGACGCAUCACUGGUGUUCGGGUUGUCAUGCCAAUGGCACUGCCCGGUAGCUAAAUGCGGAAGAGAUAAGUGCUGAAAGCAUCUAAGCACGAAACUUGCCCCGAGAUGAGUUCUCCCUGAGACUUAGAGUCUCCUGAAGGAACGUUGAAGACGACGACGUUGAUAGGCCGGGUGUGUAAGCGCAGCGAUGCGUUGAGCUAACCGGUACUAAUGAACCGUGAGGCUUAACCUUACAACGCCGAAG